GCAUUGAUCACUUUGACAAUUUAUUAUUAUUAUUAUUACAAUAAUUCCGCAAAGGCAGGAAUAUGUAGACUAGAAAGGGGGAAAUCCCACACAUCCCCCCGGGAAAAUCGCACCCUGGCUACUCGUACAGUCAGACCUGCCUUCAUACCAAACAUAUGCAGGUUGGUCACACUGAACUGUUCCUCUGGGAAGUGACCAUUGAUCCUCUGCUACAGUCAGAAGCAGAGGGGUAAGUUUUCUGCAGCUAAUUAACCUUAUUACUUCCCCAGUUUAUCUGUCGGAGCAGUGUUUCCCAUACUUCCUUAUCACUGCUGAUAAGAGCCUCUCCUAAAGAGAUGAACACAAGACGUUUGUGUCUGUGUGUAGGCAUGUGAAUGAGUCAUAUGUACACAAAUGACCGUGUGUGUGUGUGUGUGUGUGUGUGUGUGUGUGUGUGUGUGUGUGUGUGUGUGUGCGCGUGUGUGUGCGCGUGUCUGCACCUGCUUCCCUGGGAGGAAACAUCUGCUGCAGGGUGUCAGAGGCCACCUGUCUGACUCCGUCCUCCCUGACCAUUCCUGCAGAACUGAUCUACUGUACAAGGCUUCAGUCGGGAUGAGAGCUGACAACAGCCCCGGCCCGGGGACACAUCCACAGUCAGCCCCCAGCCAGCCAGCCACUAUCAUUACAGCAAUCCAAACCGGUCAACACUUAACUCCGGUGCUAAGGACACUAACGGCAGUUUACUGAACCGUCGGGAAACAGACCCAGGCACCCGAGUCAGAACAGCGCCCAUUUGUAACGUUACACCUCUGUUAGCAUUACCGGUGGUCGUGCCGAAAAUCUCCUCCCUGCUUUCUCACCCCGCGACACAGGUUCGUGGGUCUGAGUGUUGCAAAUUCAGUUUCAUAUCACAUAUCGUUACAGCCCUAUGGACAACACAUUUUUAUUUUUCACCACACUAUGUAACACCACAAAACUUUUAUUGGUACUGGACGCUGGCCUUGUAUGUACAUUAUGUUUUUAAGGAAACGUGCUAUAUCGACAUUCCUUGGAAGAAAUGGCAGGGGAAAAUGACUGACUUGUUUGGAAGUGUGGCAUUGUUAAACAACAUAUUACCACAAUCCCCUGAAGUGCGUGUGGGCACAUAGAGCACCAUUGUUCUUAGCAGCUUACAGGUGUCCUCUAAAGUUAAUCCAAAUUUCUGUCAAUUCAAGGGAAGCGCCAUAAUUCAGAUUUCCCAAUGUGGUACCAAUUCCAAAGAAAAGAAGAGUCCAGGCUAGUUGCCUUGAUGUCAACAUCAUCUUUCAAAUGUUUUUAUUAAAAACUUGGGUCUCAGCUCGUCUGUCAGGGAGAUGGAGGCGCUGAACCUGCUGCCAAGUCUUUUUUCUCAAACCCAAGACUUCUGCAGACAUUUUCUCUGUUUUGAUGUUAGUAAAUGUUUCUGAAACCGAUGUGCUGAUCACUGAUUUUAGAUAUAACAUAUAUAUAUUUAUAUAUAGUAAGAGACAACAUAGAGAGCGGAUAGUAUGAAUUGUUGAGCAAACAGAGAUGGUUGCAUAUUCCUCAAAAACAUGCUUUAUUUCUUUUAUCUGCUGCUUUCAUUCCUCAUUCUGCAGCUUAUCAUCAAGAAACCCACUAGCACUUGGAGUCUAGCUGAGAACAUACGUAGAUGCUAAACUGUCUCAGCUGCCACCAGUGCACCACUAGUUUCUCCUACUCAUUAUUACGUUUUUUUUAUGGAAGACCGAUGUAAUUAAUGAUGUCAAUAAAGGUUACAUUCCAUUUAGGUAUUCCAAAGUCCUUUAAUCUCCAAACUGAAUGCUUUCUGGCUUUUAAAAUGCUUCAUAACCGCUGUUUAGAUGUUUGUGUAUUAAUGUCCGCAUACAUCUUUACAUGUCAUCAGGUUGCUAUAUGCUAUCUUUUUAUGUUUUAUGAAAAAAUGUAUGAGUGAAAAGGUGUCUGUAUCCUGAUGCAUGGAUCAAACUUAUCAACCAAAUGUUAUAUUCAGUUGUAGUUGCACCUAAAUCGUUAACUAAAAAUGGAAACAGCGGAAGAAUUCUCCAUUACAAAUAAAGUCCAUGUUGAGUUAAUGUCUGAUACUUAAGUAUAUUUUGAUACUUUAUUUUUUCUUUGCAACUUGCAUAAAAGUAAAGUAUUAAAAUGACCUUAGUUAUCAGACGUUAAAUCAAACCGUGAAGGACAGACAGACCAUCAUUUAAAUCAUAUCUUAUAUGCUUUGAAAAAGGAGGGAAAUAAAGAAACAUGAACUCAU